rnacentral:lncRNA from 1 species
UCACCAGGGACUCAUCCGACUGCCAGGACUUUUCAAAUACGAUGGAGAGAGGCUCGGCAACUCCAUCAGCCACUUCUCAUCAGUCCCUUUCCAUCUUCCCAAGAGGGAGAAAGGGAAGGAAGGAGGAGAGAAACUGCCAAAGCCAAGCGAUGGGUUUGGGACAAAUGCACAAAACCCAUGGGUUACGGGCAGCACACUCCCUCCCCUCUAUUGAUGCUUCCUCAUCCACUGCUGGCUGCCCAGGGCUGAAGGCACGGCAGAAAGAGGCUGGAGGGGAAGGAAGGCUGCGAGGUGGAGAUAAGGCUGCAGAGGACAGGAGAGAGUGGUUCCUCCAGCCUCAUAUCCCACAGCCCCACACAUGCCCCAAAUAUCCACCAUUCACUCCUUAAUGCCCCACCCCAAUAUCCCCCUGGUUCCCCAUAUGCCACCCCCAGGGGCUCAAAUGCCACCCCCACAUUUUCUGGUUCCCAGUCUCUGCAUUUCCAGCAUCCUCCUACUGCAGCCCCACAGCUCCCACAUAUAUGGGAUAUGGGACAUUCCCCUCCAAAAUCCCAAACGCCAGAGCCCCCAGUCACCCACCCCACCUGCAGCAGCUCUCCCACCCCUCCCUGGAUGCCCUAACACACCGGGACAACCCAGGCGAGGUGACAGUGGUGGCCAUCCAGUUAAUGACACACACAAGGGCUCGUGCUGCUUUGGGGACUCUCGUUCCACCUUUUUUCUUCUCCUUCGCCUCUCCAACCUGCUCUUCCCACUGUUGUGCCCUCCUGGAUGCUCCUGGCAUCCCUUUUCUUCCCCAUCCCUCUCUCACUCUGUCUCAGCCUCUGUCCAUGCUUUCAUUUUUUCACUCCAUUUCAUUUUUUCUCUCCAUUUCUUUUCUCACCCUUUAUCACUCUUUUUUUUUUUUUUUCUCACAAUUUCCAUUUUUAUUCCUGGUCUUCCUUCAUUUUCUCUUUCACAACCAAGUGAAAUGUCCCUUUUCUACUUCUUUCGUCCUCCCAGGAACCGAUUCUUGCUUUCUUUUCCCACAGCUGAGCACUCGUUUGGCUGCACACCAGUCUUUUGGGAUGUCUUCAGCAGGGAGCAGUCUUUAGGGGGUGGAAUCGCUCACAGCACCUUCCUCUCCUUAGUGUUCCUCGUACUUAUUAUCCUCCUGAAGGGUGUAUGGGGAUCUGGCAUCCAGCUGGGAGAUCCCAGCAGGGCUGGCUCCACACAGAAACGAAGCAUCUGCGGGAAGGAGUGAGGUGGGUGGUGGGGAGCCCGAAAGUGGGGCAAUUCCCCUCUCAGCUCAGGGUGUACCUUUGCUUCUCCCCCGGGCCCAGAAGAAGAGGAGGAUGAGGCUGUUGAUGGUGAGGAAGCAGCCACCCACAACCAGGAGCCGCAGAAGAAAGAAGCAGCUCUUGCCUGCAAGAGGGAGGACAGGUUAGGAGAUGUAGACACAGUUCAUGCACGCUCGGGGAGGAUGUGAGCAUCGUUCUGCCACCCUCUCUCUUUCCCUUUCCCUACCCGUCCUUCUCCAGGCAUUCUGCUCAGGUCCUGAGUGCCAAACACCCAAAGACCUUCCCCGCUUGCUUGGCUCUGCAGGAGGCACUCAGAAAAUUCAGAACGAUGGCUCAGGAGGCCAAGGAGAGGCUGCUGAGCCAUAAGGGUGGGCAGAGGGAUGCUUGAUACUUGUUUGGAGUGGUUGGGGUGAUGGAAGGGCUGAGAGGGAGGGAGAGGUGGGUGAAAGGCUGGGGGGGCUACGUCAUGGAUGGAAGGAUGGAUAGAGCAGCUGCCUGGUGCAAGAAUCAGCUAGUUUGGAGAGGAAUGUACAGGGACUGAAAUUGAAUAGUUUCAGGAAAAAGUGGAGAGAGGGAGGGACAGACGGAUGGACAGAUGGAGAGAGGGAGAGUUUAAUGGGUUGGUAACUGGAUGGAUGGAUGGAUGGAUGGAUGGAUGGAUGGAUGGGGUUGGUGCUGGAUGCACUGACAGAUCAUUAGGUGAGUGGAUGGAUGGCCAGCUCACCUUUCUUUGGGGGAUUUACACUGAUAGACACGGCUUGGCUUGUGAAGGAGGGGAUCCACCUCUCAGGCUUUUUUUCCUCAUACUUGCAGGUAAAGUUUCCAUUGUGUUGGGGACCAGCACGUGGGAAUUGCAGGACCAUGGAAGUCCUUAAACUGCCCCCAUGAUCUGCUGCAUUGUCCUCGGAGCCUUCUGCCACAGGGAGGACCUCUUGGCCAUCCCUGUAGAAGUGAAACCUCCGUAUGGUGACAUUUCCAGGGGCCUUACAGAUGAUGCUUAGGAGUUCUCCUGCCAUCACCUCUCCCUGCGGGGACUCCACCAUCAGCAGGGGCUGGGGAGGGUGGUCUGAGAAAAGGGGAGGAAUAAAUGGAGACGUAAAAGGGGAGGAAUAAAUGGA